rnacentral:rRNA from 1 species
CCCCGCCUUUUGCCAUUGACCCAAACGACGGGGGACCUUCGGGCCUCUUGCCAUCAGAUGUGCCCAGAUGGGAUUAGCUAGUAGGUGGGGUAAUGGCUCACCUAGGCGACGAUCCCUAGCUGGUCUGAGAGGAUGACCAGCCACACUGGAACUGAGACACGGUCCAGACUCCUACGGGAGGCAGCAGUGGGGAAUAUUGCACAAUGGGCGCAAGCCUGAUGCAGCCAUGCCGCGUGUGUGAAGAAGGCCUUCGGGUUGUAAAGCACUUUCAGCGAGGAGGAAGGUGGUGAACUUAAUACGUUCAUCAAUUGACGUUACUCGCAGAAGAAGCACCGGCUAACUCCGUGCCAGCAGCCGCGGUAAUACGGAGGGUGCAAGCGUUAAUCGGAAUUACUGGGCGUAAAGCGCACGCAGGCGGUUUGUUAAGUCAGAUGUGAAAUCCCCGGGCUCAACCUGGGAACUGCAUUUGAUACUGGCAAGCUAGAGUCUCGUAGAGGGGGGUAGAAUUCCCGGUGUAG